rnacentral:rRNA from 1 species
GCAAGUCGAACGAGGUCCAUCCGAUCUUCGGAUUGGUGAAGACCUAGUGGCGAACGGGUGCGUAACACGUGAGAAACCUGCCCCGGUCUCUGGAAUAACAGUUGGAAACGACUGCUAAUACCGGAUGCCGUCGGACCAUCGCAUGAUGGAUCGACGAAAGGGUUACCGGACCGGGAGGGUCUCGCGGCCUAUCAGCUUGUUGGUGAGGUAAUGGCUCACCAAGGCGACGAUCUGUAGCUGGUCUGAGAGGAUGAUC